CGGCGGACGGGUGAGUAAUGUCUGGGAAACUGCCCGAUGGAGGGGGAUAACUACUGGAAACGGUAGCUAAUACCGCAUAACGUCGCAAGACCAAAGAGGGGGACCUUAGGGCCUCUUGCCAUCGGAUGUGCCCAGAUGGGAUUAGCUAGUAGGUGGGGUAACGGCUCACCUAGGCGACGAUCCCUAGCUGGUCUGAGAGGAUGACCAGCCACACUGGAACUGAGACACGGUCCAG
rnacentral:rRNA from 1 species